rnacentral:lncRNA from 1 species
GACGACGUAUAUAAGAUUGAUCCGUAUUCACUCAAUUUCUUUAAUGAAAAUUCAUAUUAAUUUCAGGUAUAUGUUUUUCCCUCCUAAAGGACUCUAGCUAGCUAGGGAGACGUACAACAAAAAUAAAUACACGCCAAUGUGACUCUUAAUUAGGUUUGGAUGGAUGAUCUUCCUUAUUAAAACCUUCGUGUAGCAAGCUAGUAUAUUUAUAGAUUCAAAUAUAUAUAGUAGUGUACACAUAUAAAUUAAAAAGCUAGAGACGGUGCUGGUGACUCGAUGAACUUCUCCGUUGACACCGGUCCGGGUGCAGCCAGAAACUUCCCAGGAGUUGUCGGUCCAGGUGCCACAAUUCCUGAGCUUUUUAUCUCCGCCAUCCCGCGACGUGCAUUUUCUCCUUGUGCUUGGCACAAUUUUGGAAGAUACACCCCUGCCAAAAGGAUAAAAAUGAAAAAUAGAACUAGUAAACAUAAAAGCAAUGCUCGAAAUUUCGGCCGCCCGAAUAUUUGUAGACUUGAUUUAUGUAGAUUCCACUAGUGUGACAUAUAUAUAUAUUUAGAGCCUUGACAUAGUCGACUAGAUACAAUAUGUAACAAGCUAUUCUACGUAAAAUGAAUGAAAAUAUAGGCCAUAUAAAUCUAUAUAUAUAUAUAUAUAUAUAUAUAUAUAUAUAUAUAUAUAUAUAUAUACACAUAUAUAAAUAUAUAUAUAAGUAUACACAUAAAUUAAAAGGCUGGAGACAGUGCUGGUGACUCGAUGAACUUCUCGGUUGACACCGGUCCGGGUGCAGCCAGGAACUUCCCAGAAGUUGUCGGUCCAGGUGCCACAAUUCCUGAGCUUUUUAUCUCCGCCAUCCCGCGACGUGCAUUUUCUCCUUGUGCUUGGCACAAUUUUGGAAGAUACACCCCUGCCAAAAGGAUAAAAAUGAAAAAUAGAGCUAGCUAGUAAACACAAAAGCAAUGCUCGAGAAUAUUUGUAGACUUGAUUAAUUUGUGCAUGUAGAUUCCACUAGUGUGACAUAUAUAUUUAGAGCCUUGACAUAG